AAGCUAAGAAUCGGCACCUCAAACAAAGAAAAGAAAAGCUCUCAUCGUCAUUUUCUUUUCUUGGAAAAGGAAAAGCUUCGGUCAAUCUCUUAUCUUUUCAAAAUUGAAAGAAACAGUCAUUCCUCCUCCUUGUGAGCUCUCUCGCCAAACCCAGGUCAACCCCGAAACAGCCCCAACACAAGCUAAAAGCUGCUGAAAUCAGCUGGGAAACGCAGCAAAAAAGAGCUGCAAAAUACCACCCAAAAUCCAGCGUAGAGAGCAGCAAAAUCAGCUGCGUAUCUGCUGAAAGUUCUGGCCAAAAGAAGCAGUGAAACAAGCUGCGAAGUAGCUCGAAAACCAACCAAAAGCUGGCUGAAAAUCAACACCAAACAGUCCCCUUUUGCAUAAAAAAUCGCAGUUCCAAGGUUGAGUCAUCGAGGUCGCGUCCAUGGUUCCGAUCCAGAUUUUGGAGUCGGUCCCAUCGGCGGCUAUUAGCGUGCUUGGAUUGAUCAGCUCAGCGGAGACUUGAGGUAUAAUUGUUUAGUGCCCGCGGCUCCUGGAGUCUCCUUCUUUAAUUUUAAUUAGUUAUGUAUUUUCAUUCAGACAACUUGGUACUUUUUUUAGACCCUUGUAUGUAUUAAUCUAGUAGCUCGUGCACUUGUGACACCGGGUUCAGGGAUUUGUAGUAGAUAUUUGGCAGUAUUAGCUUCUGCGUUCAUAUCGUAGAUUAUUUCAGUUAUUUCA